AGUGAACGCUGGCGGUAGGCCUAACACAUGCAAGUCGAACGGCAGCACAGUAAGAGCUUGCUCUUACGGGUGGCGAGUGGCGGACGGGUGAGGAAUACAUCGGAAUCUACUUUUUCGUGGGGGAUAACGUAGGGAAACUUACGCUAAUACCGCAUACGACCUACGGGUGAAAGCAGGGGAUCUUCGGACCUUGCGCGAUUGAAUGAGCCGAUGUCGGAUUAGCUAGUUGGCGGGGUAAAGGCCCACCAAGGCGACGAUCCGUAGCUGGUCUGAGAGGAUGAUCAGCCAAAAUGGAAACGAGACACGGUCCCAGAUCCUAAGGGGAGCAGCAGGGGGGGAUAUUUGGCAAUGGGCGCAAGCCUGAUCCAGCCAUACCGCGUGGGUGAAGAAGGCCUUCGGGUUGUAAAGCCCUUUUGUUGGGAAAGAAAAGCAGCAGGUUAAUACCCCGCUGUUCUGACGGUACCCAAAGAAUAAGCACCGGCUAACUUCGUG
rnacentral:rRNA from 1 species